UGGGGGAUAUUGCACAAUGGGGGAAACCCUGAUGCAGCAAUGCCGCGUGAGGGAAGAAGGCCUUCGGGUUGUAAACCUAAGUUGUCAGGGACGAAACAUGACGGUACCUGAAGAGAAAGCUCCGGCUAACUACGUGCCAGCAGCCGCGGUAAUACGUAGGGAGCGAGCGUUGUCCGGAUUUACUGGGUGUAAAGGGUGCGUAGGCGGGUUUGCAAGUCAGACGUGAAAUACCGAGGCUUAACUUCGGGGCUGCGUUUGAAACUGUAGAUCUUGAGUGAAGUAGAGGCAGGCGGAAUUCCUAGUGUAGCGGUGAAAUGCGUAGAUAUUAGGAGGAACACCAGUGGCGAAGGCGGCCUGCUGGGCUUUAACUGACGCUGAGGCACGAAAGCAUGGGGAGCAAACAGG
rnacentral:rRNA from 1 species